rnacentral:rRNA from 1 species
ACUACAUUAGAUACCCGUGUAGUCCCAGCCCUAAACGAUGCGCGUUAGGUGUAUCGGUGACCACGAGUCACCGAGGUGCCGAAGGGAAACCGUGAAACGUGCCGCCUGGGAAGUACGGUCGCAAGGCUGAAACUUAAAGGAAUUGGCGGGGGAGCACCGCAACGGGAGGAGCGUGCGGUUCAAUUGGAUUCAACGCCGGACAACUCACCAGGAGCGACGGUUACAUGAAGGCCAGGCUGAUGACCUUGCCUGAUUUCCG